rnacentral:misc_RNA from 1 species
AACGCACCUUGCGCUCCUUGGAAUUCCGAGGAGCAUGCCUGUUUGAGCGUCGUUGAACUCUCAGAACCCUACCCCGUGGGGUUGUGGAUUGUGGAGGAUGCAAAUGCCGCCCCAAUCGGGGGCACCUUUUUUGCUUCUCUGAAAUGCAGUGCCGUUACGGCUGCAGUCGGCGAACUACCACCCGUCAGAUAUCGGUGCCAUGCUGAUCCUUUCUCGGCUGGUCUUCAACCGAGGGGCUCUCGUCAGCCGUUCACCUGAUCCCACCGGGAGAGGGUGUCAGCUGGGGACAGCCACGGUGGCAACCGUCGCUGCAUGCUUGCAGCAGAUGGCAGGUGUGUCCUUCAUGGAUUUGGAGGCGCAUUGUUAGCUUCUCUGCAAGGCAUUGCCGUAACGUCAUGGCCGCGGUCACGAAUCUGAUGCCGAUAUGAUACACUCUUCUUACCCAAUUCUGAUCCGUGCCACCCGUGUCCGACGAUUUGACCUCAAAUCAGGCAGGACUACCCGCUGAACUUAA